GAUAAGUUUUUUGCAUUAGCAGAGAAGAGGCAGUUAGUUGACGUUUAGCUAUAUUCAUCAUGAUGAUUCAUCAAACGAGAUUUUGUUUGUUUUCCCUUUUCUGUCUUACAGGAAAUGCCAGAGUGUGGCUUACCCAGCAGACAGAUAAGCUGCACUACACAGCUGGUGAGACUGCUGUUAUUCAGUGCAACCUCCACGCUGAUCAUAACAAUGUCAAAGUGAAGCUAAUGAAGUGGGUAAUUCUCGAUCCACAGAAGAUAGAUGCAACUAUAGAUUUACCAAAGGUGGAAGCAUAUGCAUCUCGUCAGCACACAAAGACCUCAGGAAACUCUACAGUCCUCACACUGGCCAAUCUGACCAUGAACGACAACGAUACAUUGCUAUGUUUUGCCAGAUAUUAUGAGAAUAGACAACUGACACAUGCCGUGGGACAUGGAACUGUACUUGACAUCUUUAACAAAGUUCAGCCAACAGAACUCAUCAUAUCAAAUAUCACAAAUGAACCCCAAUCAACAUUACUCUCCUGGAUUAAUUAUUUACUUUUAUCUGUAAAUAUUUUGUUCCUGUUUGUAGCCACCUCCCUGUGUGUUUCUCUUUUUCUAACCAGGUGCUAUACAAGAAAGUUUGCACACACAUAGCCUUACGCUGAGCUUCAUGUACCAAGUGAAUAACACAAAUAGGUGCUUUGUAAUGUUUGUGCAAAGUUACAUACUGCUGUUGGUUUUUAUGCUAUAUUGGUUCAUCACCAUUUCACAUUUAGUGCUGGUCAUCAUUUCUGUAAAAUCUUUUGCUGGAUAACAAAAUCCUUUGCUGGAUAUUUAAGUCAUUGUCUAGCCUGGUCUAGUAUGAUUUCUACAAAUAAAAUGGAGUCAGACACAAUAUUACUGGAGAGCAGUGUGCAGCAAGCCAUCUACUGUGUUGUGUUGAUUUUUUCUGUAAAACUACAAAACAGCAGUUUGAAAAUAACACAUCAGCUAUAAUACGGUACUUUCCAUAAACGCUGUCUUUCUAUUUCUCCAUCUCAGCCACAAAGACACACACACAUACACACGCACGCACACAAACACGCACAUCCUUGAGCAGUCACAUGAUUCAUUAAAUCAUUAUUUCAAUAUUAAAAAGAUAUGAUUCAAAGUAUGAAAUUCAAAUUCAGACUGCAUGAUCAAAAACAAAGUGUGGACACCAAAAAAUAAUAAUUUCACCAUUAUUUAUGCUAUAGAACAGUCUGAAGACAAACAGUCUGAAACAAACAGAAUUCUCAACUUUCCUAUCUUUGCAACAGUUGCCAGAAGGCUGACACUUAGUUCUUUUGUCUCUAACUUUUGAUUUCAUCUAGUGAUGCAACUCAUGUUGAAUGUGUGACAUAUUACAGUUUAUGAGAGAGAGUGUGUGAGAGAGAGAGAGAGAGAGAGAGAGAGAGAGACUUUCAGUUCCUAUUCCUACUUCCAGAUUUCUCCUGUUUUGCAAGUUGUUUGUAAGCAACCAAAUGUUCAGGUGUCAUCUGAUAAUAUUCACUUGAGUAUGUGUAGCGCCUCUCUAGCGUGUUUGGCUAUAGUGAGAGGUGGCUAUCCUGAAUUCUUUAACUAUACUAUCAAUCAAAUAAGUGGGGUUUCACUAAUAAACGUCAUCAG